rnacentral:lncRNA from 10 species
CCAGGCCAGGGCUCAAAGACAGUCCUGUUUGCUUUCCAGCAGCCGAGGGCCCUGUGCUAACUACUUUUCCUCUUGGGUCCAGUCUUUGGGAUCUGACCUAGCUCUGCUUAAAUCCCUCCAGCUUUCCAUUGCUUCUAGGACAAACCUCACGUCUUCAGCACAGCCUCUAAGCUAUGCACAAGCUGUCACCUGCCCAGGACUCCACCCCUCUCUCCUCCCACUCCAGGUUCCAUCCGUUCCUCCCUUCCUCCAGCAACCCAAGUGCCUCCUGCGACAGGCCCUGCCUGGUCUUUUCCACGAGGUGCCAUCAGCCCCAUUUCUGGAAGAGGAGUUCAGUGUGUGCGGAUCUCAAAGAACCUCCCUCCCAGCACCACUGAGGUGCUGAGGAUGCCCCUGAAACGGCCUCAGACUCGACUUGGACUAUGGGUUCCAUCCGUAGAGUUGGCCUCACUGACAGCAUUACAGGAAGGCUUCGAGGCAGCUCCCUGUGACCAUGUGGCGAUCGGACCAUCCCUGGCAUCCCACUUUGUGGGUGAGGAGACUGCCUCCUAACUGUGGGUGACUCAGCAGCUGCUGUGUACUUUUCUUCAAACUCCCCAAGAGAGGACACAGGAGAUCCCCUAGUGCAGUGUCUGGC